AUAACUCGGAAAUGUAAAAUCUAAAAUUUAUAAAAUUCUAAAGGGAGCUUACAUCAAUAGAUAUCAACAAUUCAUCAAAGUUUCAUGAGAACUGCUGAAAGCAUUUUUGAGUUAUUGUCCGAAAACUGGAAAAUCCCCCUUUUUUUUAUGAAUAAAACCCCGUAACUUGGCAACGUAAAAUCUAAAAUUAACAAGAGUGCACACGCUGAAAUGUCUCGCCUUCUUUACUAAUCAUUGAUAUUAUGUUGAUAGUCCUAAAUAUAAAGCUUUAUUACAACUGUCACAUAAACUUAACAUUAACCAAGUAAACUAAACAUUGACCAAUGAACCAUGAAAAUGAGGUCAAGGUCAGAUGAACCAUGCUAGGCAGGCAUGUACAGCUAAUAAUUCUUCCAUACAACAAAUAUAGUUGACCUAUUGCUUAUAGUUUAAGACAAGAGUGCACACACUGAAAUGUCUCGCCUUCUUUACUUAUCAUUGAUAUUAUGUUGAUAGUCCUAAAUAUAAAGCUUUAUUACAACUGUCACAUAAACUUAUUAUUAACCAAGUUAACUAAACAUUAACCAAUGAACCAUGAAAAUGAGGUCAAGGUCAGAUGAACCAUGCUAGGCAGGCAUGUACAGCUAACAAUUCUUCCAUACAACAAAUAUAGUUGACCUAUUGCUUUUAGUUUAAGAAAAACAGACCAAAACACAAAAACUUAACACUGAGCAAUGAACCUUGAAAAUGAGGUCAAGGUAAAAAAAAAACUGUGUGACUGACAAAUAGAUCAUAAAAUAUUUCCAUACACCAAAUAUAGUUGAACUAUUGCAUAUAGUAUUAGAAAAAAAGACCAAAACUCAAAAAAUUAACUUUGACCACUGAACCAUGAAAAUGAGGUCAAGGUCAGAUGACACCUGCCAGCUAGACAUGUACACCUUACAAUCAUUCCAUACACCAACUAUAGUAGGCCUAUUGCAUACAGUAUAAGAAAAACAGACCAAAACACAAAAACUUAACUAUAACCACUGAACCAUGAAAAUGAGGUCAAGGUCAGAUGACACCUGCCAGCUAGACAUGUAAACCUUACAAUCAUUCCAUACACCAAAUAUAGUAGACCUAUUGCAUACAGUAUAAGAAAAACAGACCAAAACACAAAAACUUAACUAUAACCACUGAACCAUGAAAAUGAGGCCAAGGUCAAAUAAAACCUGCAUGACUGACAUAUAGAUCAUAAAAUAUUUCCAUACACCAAAUAUAGUUGAACUAUUGCAUAUAGUAUUAGAAAAAAAGACCAAAACUCAAAAACUUUACUUUGACCACUGAACCAUGAAAAUGAGGUCAAGGUCAGAUGACACCUGCCAGCUAGACAUGUAAACCUUACAAUCAUUCCAUACACCAAAUAUAGUAGACCUAUUGCAUACAGUAUAAGAAAAACAGACCAAAACACAAAAACUUAACUAUAACCACUGAACCAUGAAAAUGAGGCCAAGGUCAGAUGACACCUGCCAGUUGGACAUGUACACCUUACAGUCCUUCCAUACACCGAAUAUACUAGACCUAUUGCUUAUAGUAUCUGAGAUAUGGACUUGACCACCAAAACUUAACCUUGUUCACUGAUCCAUGAAAUGAGGUCGAGGUCAAGUGAAAACUGUCUGACGGGCAUGAGGACCUUGCAAGGUACGCACAUACCAAAUAUAGUUAUCCUAUUA